rnacentral:rRNA from 1 species
AACGUAGGGGGCGAGCGUUAUCCGGAAUCACUGGGCGUAAAGGGCGUCUAGGCGGUCCAGUAAGUCCUGCGUGAAAGCUCCCGGCUCAACUGGGAGAGCGCGUGGGAGACUGUUGGGCUAGAGACUCGGAGAGGGGUGUGGAAUUCCCGGUGGAGUGGUGAAAUGCGUUGAGAUCGGGAGGAACACCAGUGGCGAAGGCGGCACCCUGGCCGAGUUCUGACGCUGAAGCGCGACAGCGUGGGGGAGCAAACGGG